UACGUAGGGGGCAAGCGUUUGUCCGGAAUCAUUGGGCGUAAAGCGCGUGUAGGCGGCUCGAUAAGUCUGCUGUGAAAGUUCAGGGCUCAACCCUGAAAUGCCGGUGGAAACUGUCGGGCUAGAGUCCGGAAGAGGCGAGUGGAAUUCCUGGUGUAGCGGUGAAAUGCGCAGAUAUCAGGAGGAACACCAAUGGCGAAGGCAGCUCGCUGGGACGGUACUGACGCUGAGACGCGAAAGCGUGGGGAGCAAACAGG
rnacentral:rRNA from 1 species